CGUAGGUGGCAAGCGUUGUCCGGAAUUAUUGGGCGUAAAGCGCGCGCAGGUGGGAUAAUAAGUCUGGUGUUAAAGUUCGGGGCUCAACCCCGUGAAGCAUUUGGAAACUGUUAUUCUUGAGUGCAGGAGAGGAAAGUGGAAUUCCUAGUGUAGCGGUGAAAUGCGUAGAUAUUAGGAGGAACACCAGUGGCGAAGGCGACUUUCUGGACUGUGUCUGACACUGAGGCGCGAAAGCUAGGGUAGUGAACAGGAUUAGAUACCCUGGUAAUCCUAGCUGUAAACGAUGGGUACUAGGUGUUGGGGGUAUCGACCCCUCCAGUGCCGGAGUUAACGCAAUAAGUACCCCGCCUGGGGAGUACGGCCGCAAGGUUG
rnacentral:rRNA from 1 species